CCAAUAGCGUAUAUUAAAGUUGUUGCAGUUAAAAAGCUCGUAGUUGAAUUUCGGGGUUAGUAGGUUGGUCAUGCCUCUGGUAUGUACUGGUCUCACUGAUUCCUCCUUCCUGAUGAGCCGUAAUGCCAUUAAUUUGGUGUUGCGGGGAAUUUGGAUUGUUACUUUGAAAAAAUUAGAGUGUUUAAAGCAAGCUAACGCUUGAAUACAUUAGCAUGGAAUAAUGAAAUAGGACGUUCGAUCCUAUUUUGUUGGUUUCUAGGAUUGACGUAAUGAUUAAUAGGGAUAGUUGGGGGCAUUAGUAUUCAAUUGUCAGAGGUGAAAUUCUUGGAUUUAUUGAAGACUAACUACUGCGAAAGCAUUUGCCAAGGAUGUUUUCAUUAAUCAAGAACGAAAGUUAGGGGAUCGAAGACGAUCAGAUACCGUCGUAGUCUUAACCAUAAACUAUGCCGACUAGGGAUCGGAUGAUGUUAAUUUUUUAAUGACUCAUUCGGCGCCUUACG
rnacentral:misc_RNA from 1 species